ensembl:misc_RNA Metazoa_SRP Metazoan signal recognition particle RNA
GCCAGGCUUGGUGGCACAUGCCUGUAGUCCCAGCUACUCAGGAGGCUGAGGUAGGAGGAUUGAUUGAGCCCAGGAGUUUGAGGCUGCAGUGAGCUAUGUUCAUGCCUCUGCACUCUAGCCUGGGCAACAGAGCAAGACCCUGUCUCAA